UACAGAGGUCUCAAGCGUUGUUCGGAUUUAUUGGGCGUAAAGAGCGUGUAGGCGGUCCGGUAAGUCGGCUGUGAAAGUCCAGGGCUCAACCCUGGGAUGCCGGUCGAUACUGCCGGACUAGAGUUCGGAAGAGGCGAGUGGAAUUCCCGGUGUAGCGGUGAAAUGCGCAGAUAUCGGGAGGAACACCUAUGGCGAAGGCAGCUCGCUGGGACGUUACUGACGCUGAGACGCGAAAGCGUGGGGAGCAAACAGG
rnacentral:rRNA from 1 species